rnacentral:tRNA from 1 species
CGGGGUGUAAUGUCAGUCUGGUCAGACGGCUCGCUUUGGAUGCGAGAGGUCGUAGGUUCGAAUCCUACCUCCCCGA